rnacentral:rRNA from 1 species
UACCACGGUGUGCUUCAUGACUGGGGUGAAGUCGUAACAAGGUAGCCGUAGGGGAACCUGUGGCUGGAUCACCUCCUUAAAAA